rnacentral:tRNA from 1 species
AGGUUUCAGUCCUUUUCUUUUUA